UCGUAGCUCAAUGGAUAGAGCGGUGGACUCCUAAGCCAAGGGUUGGAGGUUCGAGUCCUCUCGGGU
rnacentral:tRNA from 1 species